rnacentral:lncRNA from 10 species
GUGGGUGGGGUGUCAGCUAAGGAAGGGCUAUUUUUAGAUUUUAGUCAGGUAAAUAUAUGAAUAAGGUUACCACAUAGCUUCUAGGACCCCUUUCCUUCUCACUUGGCUCUUGUUCCUCUGUUACCCAAGCUGGAACAUUUGGACUGUGGAUUUCACUAUGACAGUCUGUAUCUGUGAUGGUUAAUACUGAACUUGAUUGGAUUGAAGGGUACAAAGUAUUGAUUCUGGGUGUGUCUCUGAGGAUGUUGCCAAAGGAGAUUAACAUUUGAGUCAGUGGGCUGGGAAAGGCAGACCCACCCUUAAACUGGGUGGGCACCAUCUAAUCAGCUGCCAGCAUGGCUAUAAUAUAAAGCAGGCAGAAAAACGUGAAAAGACUAGACUGGCCUAGCCUUCCAGCCUACAUCUUUCUCCUGUGCUGGAUGCUUCCUGCCCUUGAACAUUGGACUCCAAGUUCUUCAGUUUUGGGACUCAGACUGGCUCUCCUUGCUCCUCAGCUUGCAGACGGCAUAUGGUGUGACCUUGUGAUCCUUUUUAGAACCUGCCAAGGAAGGGUAUGCAGAAUUUUGCAGUGCCUUUUACAAGCUGUGCUAAAUCCAGUGUCCAUGCCACAUUCCUUUUCAUUGAUAUAAAGGCAACUCGAAGAUGGGAUACUAUUGACAAGGGGUCACAAGUACCCUCCACUCAUUUCUCUAUGCGGCCAUCCCAUGAACAGUCACUGCACAAGAACUCCAUUGGCUCUGUUGGAUGCCAUGCUAAGAACAGGAUGGACACCAAAGAGUAAAGCUCAACAGAUCCAGAUCCAAAGUAGCAAACAAGCCAGGGGUGGAGACUUCAAAUCCUAAACAGUAAUGCAAGGGUUCCACAGACAUAAAAUAUCACAAACAUAAGUCUUUAGACGCAACUUUUGAUUCUGU